rnacentral:rRNA from 1 species
CAGCCGCCGCGGGAAUACGAAGGGGGCUAGCGUUGUUCGGAUUUACUGGGCGUAAAGCGCACGUAGGCGGAUCGAUCAGUCAGGGGUGAAAUCCCAGAGCUCAACUCUGGAACUGCCUUUGAUACUGUCGAUCUGGAGUAUGGAAGAGGUGAGUGGAAUUCCGAGUGUAGAGGUGAAAUUCGUAGAUAUUCGGAGGAACACCAGUGGCGAAGGCGGCUCACUGGUCCAUUACUGACGCUGAGGUGCGAAAGCGUGGGGAGCAAUCAGGAUUAGAUACCCCAGUAGUCCCUGUCUCUUAUAC